AACACGUUGGUAUCUGCCCCCAAGUCAGGGAUAGCCAUUGGAAACGAUGAUUAAUACCGGAUAGUCUCUUCGGAGUAAAAAUUUAUUGCUUGGGGAGGAACCUGCGUUCUAUCAGCUAGUUGGUGAGGUAAUAGCUCACCAAGGCAAUGACGGAUACCUGGUCUGAGAGGAUGAUCAGGCACAAUGGAACUGAGACACGGUCCAUACUCCUACGGGAGGCAGCAGUGAGGAAUCUUCCACAAUGGACGAAAGUCUGAUGGAGCGACACCGCGUGAAGGAUGAAGGCCUAACGGUUGUAAACUUCUUUUCUGAAGGAGCAUAAUGAGAGUACUUCAGGAAUAAGGGACGGCUAAAUACGUGCCAGCAGCCGCGGUAAUACGUAUGUCUCAAGCGUUACCCGGAAUCACUGGGUGUAAAGGGUUCGUAGGCGGUAUUAUAAGUCAGACAUGAAAGACCGGAGCUCAACUCCGUGUUUGUGUUUGAAACUGUAUCACUAGAAUCAGGGGAGAGGUUAGCGGAAUUCUGAGUGUAGGGAUGCAAUCCGUA
rnacentral:rRNA from 1 species